rfam:Triticum aestivum genome assembly, contig: Triticum_aestivum_CS42_TGACv1_scaffold_472824_6AL
CAACUACUCCCUCCGUCCCAAAAUUCUUGUCUUAGAUUUAUCUAGAUACAAAUGUAUCUAAUACUAAAACGUGACUUCAUACAUCCGUAUUUAGACAAAUUUAAGACAAGAAUUUUGGGACGGAGGGAGUACUCA